rnacentral:lncRNA from 1 species
GGGCGGUCGGUUGUCAGCGCCGAGGAGAGGGAGUAAACUGAGGCCUGUAAUCUAGAAACAUUUUGAGAAAAGGGUGAUAAACUGUAGCCCCGCCCUCAAGAAGGCAUUUAGUGGAGGAAAACAGCCACAGACAACUGCAUUUCAGAACAACUGUUAGGUGACCGAUUGAGAAAAGUGACACAAACAUUGGGAAGAACCUGCUCUUCUAAACGAAGAGGGGUGGAAAAUGUCACACGUUACAACCUCUUAUUCCUAUGAUGCACCAAUGGACUUUAUCAAUUUUACAUCUUUGGAUGAUGAGGAAGAUACCCAAAACAUAGAUUCCUGGUUUGAGGAGAAGGCCAAUCUGGAGAAUAAAUUUCCUGGAAAGAUUGGUACAGGAGGGCUUUUUCAGGACAAAACUCCUCUGAGAAAGGCUAAUCUUCAGCAAGAUUUCACACCUUUGAGACCAGUUGACAACACAUAUAACAAAGAGGCAGAAAAAGAAAAUCUGGUGGACGAGUCCAUUUCAUCAAAUACUUAUUCUUCCAUAAAAAUUAAAGAAACCACAUCAAGAAAUAUUCCAGCUCAGCCUCAGAGAAGAUCUCUUAGACUCUCUGCUCAGAAGAAUUUGGUACAGAAAGAAAAACAUCAUGUAAAAAUGAAAGCCAAGAGAUGUGCUACUCCUGUAAUUAUCAAUGAAAUUCCACCCUCCAAAAAAAUGAAAGUUUCUAACAAUAAAAUGAAGCCAGAGGAAGAGGAAGAAGGCAGUGCUCAUCAAGAUAUUUCUGAAAAGAAUGAGUGUUCCCCAGAGAAAGCCAAGGGCAGACGCACUGGGCCUUGUAUCCCACCUAUAAGGCAGAAGGUUCUAAAAAGUACUGAGGAGCAAGAAUUGGAGAAGAGAAUGAAAAUGCAGCAAGAAGUGAUAGAGAUGCGGAAAAAGAAUGAAGAAUUCAAGAAAUUUGCUCUUGCAGGAGCAGGGCUCCCUGUGAAGAAAUCAGUGACCCAGGUAACCAAAUCAGUUGACUUCCACUUCCGCACAGAUGAGCGAAUCAAACAACAUCCUAAGAACCAGGAGGAGUAUAAGGAAGUGAACUUUACAUCGGAACUGCGAAAGCAUCCUCCCUCUCCUGCUCGAGUGUCAAAGGGAUGCACCAUUGUUAUGCCUUUCAACCUGUCCAAAGGAAAGAAAAGAACAUUUGAUGAGACAGCUUCUACGUAUGUUCCCCUUGCACAGCAGGUCGAAGCCUUUCAUAAGCGAACCCCUAACAGAUACCACUUGAGGAGCAAGAAGGAUGAUAGUACUCUGCUACCCUCCAAAUCUGUGGCCAAGAUAUGCAGAGACCCACAGACUCCUGUGCUACAAACCAAACAUCGUGCAAGGCCUGUGACCUGCAAAAGUACAGCGGAUCAGGAGGCCGAGGAGCUUGAGAAACUGCAGCAAUACAAAUUCAAAGCACAGGAACUUGAUCCCAGAAUUCUUGAAGGUGGGCCCAUCUUGCCCAAGAAACCACCUGUGAAGCCACCCACUCAGCCUAUUGGCUUUGAUUUGGAAAUUGAGAAAAGGAUCCAGGAGCGAGAGUCAAAGAAGAAAUCUGAGGAUGAACACUUUGAAUUUCAUUCCAGGCCUUGCCCUACUAAGAUCUUGGAAGAUGUUGUGGGUGUUCCUGAAAAGAAAGUACUUCCAGUCACUGUCCCCAAGUCACCAGCCUUUACUCUGAAGAACAGAAUCCGAAUGCCCUUCAAAGAAGAUGAGGAAGAGGAGGAGCCAGUAGUGAUAAGAGCUCAACCUGUGCCAUAUUUUGGAAUGCCUUUUAAGCCCCAAAUUCCAGUGGGGAGAACUGUGGAAAUAUGCCCCUUCUCUUUUGAUUCUCGAGACAAAAAACGUCAGUUACAGAAGGAGAAGAAAAUAAAAGAACUGCAGAAAGGGGAGGUGCCUAAGUUCAAGGCACUACCUUUGCCUCAUUUUGACACCGUUAACCUGCCAGAGAAGAAGGUGAAGAAUACAACCCAGGUUGAGCCUUUCUGCUUGGAGACUGACAGAAGAGGUGCUCUGAAGGCACAAACUUGGAAGCACCAGCUGGAGGAAGAACUAAAACAGCAGAAAGAAGCAGCUUGCUUCAAGGCUCGUCCAAACACCGUCAUCUCCCAGGAGCCCUUCGUUCCUAAGAUAGAGAAAAAAUCCCUUACUGGUAAUAUUUCAUGGGUUCUUAGGGGAUUGGGGCAGAAUUGCCAGACUUCCUGGGACUCAGUUGUGUCAGUACCAUACUGUGUUAAUCAGAAGCAUUUGCCCAUAGAGGAUCUAGAGUUUUCUCCCUCUAGAUCUUUGUUGAAUCCAGCAGCCAUGUUGAUUUGUAGAAUAUGUUGGGGUCAGAUUCACAGAAUGAGAGCUUGGGCAGAGGCAGCUGGCAUUUCAACAGUUAUACUUUCUCCUGCCCAGAGAGGAGCAAGUACGUAAGUGAGGGAGGGAGAGCCAGGACCUCUUUCUGGAGUCCGCUGAAGCAAGUCUUAGGUAGAAAACAUUUGAUUCCUUAAGCACUGGGGAGCAUGUCAGAAAAGUGGGAUUCUUCUAAAUCUGUCUCAAAUACUGUGUAGUGGUUGUUUUUUUUUGUUUGUUUGUUUUUUUAAUAGGGCUGCACCCGUGGCAUAUGGAAAUUCCCAGGCUAGGGGUCCAAUCGAAGCUGUACCCACCAGCCUACACCACAGCCACAGCAAUGCUGGAUCCUUAACACACUGAGUGAGGCCAGGGAUCAGACCCCGUCCUUAUGGAUGCUAGUUGGUUUUUUAUAGCUGAGCCAUGAUGGGAACUCCUCACUAUGUAGUUUUUGAGCAAGCCACUUCAUCUCUGUGCAUCUUGCUUUUCUCCUAAUUAAAUGAUUUCUAAGGGCCCUUCCAACUCUUAAAAUGUUAGGACUUUUGUACAUGGUUCACACUGCCUUUCUCCUUGUUGGGCUUCCUUCGUUCAGAGCUCAGCCUUUCUGUCGCCUUGCAUGUCUGUGCCACUUGCUGGAUCUAUGGCGCUAGGUUUAUGCGAGUCCUUGUGCACCAAUAUUCUCUCUGUCUCUGCUCAGAGGGCCUUUCUGGUUCUCUAGUCCAGGAAACUUUUCAGCUGGCCACUGAGAAGAGAGCCAGGGAGCGGCAGGAGCUGGAGAAGAGAAUGGCUGAGGUGGAAGCCCAGAAAGCUCAGCAGCUGGAGGAGGCCAGGCAACAGGAAGAGGAGCAGCAGAGGCAGGAACUGGCCAGGCUACGGAAAGAAUUGGUGCACAAGGCAAAUCCAAUACGCAAGUACCAGAGUGUGGAGGUCAAGUCAAGUGACCAGCCACUGACCAUGCCUGUAUCGCCCAAGUUUUCCACUCGAUUCCACUGCUGAACUUAGCUGCGAGCUGAUGCCACUUGGGAACCGGAGCUGCUCCUUCCAUCAAACCAGGAGGCUUCUUUGUCACGGGGGCGUGGAGAGAACCCAUUUCUCCAGGCUUUUCCCUACCCAUGACCCACAGAGUAUGCCGGACAAGUGUGGACUCCAGUUUCAUUGAAACUUGUUUUUCCUGUGUUAUUGUGGCUAAUAGUGAGACUCACCUUAUGUAUGUCUCAGCCGGACUCCGUGUAGUCAUUUCCUUUCAACCGUCAGUUGCCCUUUAAUAUGGGUCUUAACUCUGACUAGAAUUUAAAGCCCUUGCAUUAGUACAGUGUAAUUUCUAUUGCCCUUGCCCCUCCCCCCUUUCCUAUUUUAAUCAGAAAAUAAAGAUAGUUAAAUACUGAGAUAGGAUUUAUUAAGUCAUGGAUUAAAUGAAGAGCCAUCAGUAGUAUGUCAGAUUCUUUCCUCUUGUCUGUGCAAGAUGAAUUUAGAGCUAAAGAGCCCUUCUUUAUGAGGGAGGAAUCCUCGUAAACUGCCAGAUGAGGCAGACUUACUGGAGGAACCUCACGGCGGCCAUCGGUGGCUUCAGGCAGAGCCGCUGUGCAGGCUUGUUCUUCUCUUAUUGGUGCUGAUGAUAACAGGGAAUGCUGAGCAGUGCACUUUGAAGUCCUCCAGUGACCUGGACUGGAAUAAAUAGGUUUGUCUUC